GACGAACGCUGGCGGCGUGCCUAAUACAUGCAAGUCGAGCGGAACUGGGGGAGCUUGCUCCUUCCAGUUUAGCGGCGGACGGGUGAGUAACACGUGGGCAACCUGCCCUGCAGAUCGGGAUAACUCCGGGAAACCGGUGCUAAUACCGAAUAGUUUGGCGCCUAUCCUGAGGCGCUACGGCAAGACGGUUUCGGCUGUCACUGCAGGAUGGGCCGGCGGCGCAUUAGCUAGUUGGUGGGGUAACGGCCCACCAAGGCGACGAUGCGUAGCCGACCUGAGAGGGUGACCGGCCACACUGGGACUGAGACACGGCCCAGACUCCUACGGGAGGCAGCAGUAGGGAAUCUUCCGCAAUGGACGCAAGUCUGACGGAGCAACGCCGCGUGAGUGACGAAGGUUUUCGGAUCGUAAAACUCUGUUGUGAGGGAAGAACACGUACCAACUAACUAUUGGUACCUUGACGGUACCUCACCAGAAAGCCACGGCUAACUACGUGCCAGCCGCCGCCGUAA
rnacentral:rRNA from 1 species